UCUUGGACAUCAGCCACGAGGUGGAAAAGGACUGGGACCACCAGACUGUUUUAGAACGCAUCAGGGAUGGCUUUGGUGAGCACCUUCCAGACGAUGUCAGCUAUAAGAGAGGACUGGUAAUACAUUGCUGGCAAAGCCAUUGCUGUGAGCUUGGUACAUGGCGGUCCACCACCAAACUUCCUCUCUCAGACAUAGCUGACACAGAACUCUUGGAAAAGUCAAAAAGAUUCUGUGAAGGACUGAAAACUCUUUGGGUUCAGGACCAAAUACGACGACAUCCAGACAGCUUUCGACCCCUGUUCUGCUAUGAGCUGUGGAUGAUCUUUUCAGCAUUCGUCUCUCUCCAGAAGGGAGCAACAAGAGAGCUGCUGACGAGAUGGUCGUUACUUUCUGGAGGGACUAUCUCCAAAAUGCAGAGGAAGAAGAAGGGCCAUCCAAACUAGAGAAGAUAUUGGCCUUCACAACUUGAGCAUCUGACCAGUUCAUUCACAAAGGAGAUGAUGGCUUCUCUACAUCAAUGUUCCCUCUUGCCAACAGAUGUGUUAACUGCAUCAACUUGCCACUACAUGUGUCUUACCAACUGUUCAAGGAGAAGUUUGACUUUGCAUUAGGGAACACAUAUGGGUUUGGCAGGGCAUGAACAUGUCAUGCUCUGAAAACUGUUUCUGUCUGUGUCUCACUUUCUCUGUUUCAAACAAGAGUUAUUAUUUUCACUUCUGAAUGCCGUAUGCAAUAUAACUUAUGUAUUUUAUAUAGUUUCACCACGAUUCAGUUGACUCAGUCAGCCUAUGUUUUAAAACAUAUUUACAUUUUAACGGCAUGUUUCAUAUUUUUACCAAACUUUUUACCAAAUGUUAAUUUAUUUUUCAUA